AUUGAACGCUGGCGGCAGGCCUAACACAUGCAAGUCGAGCGGGGUUUUCGGACCUAGCGGCGGACGGGUGAGUCAUGCGUAGGAAGCUGCCCGAUAGAGGGGGAUACCAGUUGGAAACGACUGUUAAUACCGCAUAAUGUCUACGGACCAAAGUGUGGGACCUUCGGGCCACAUGCUAUCGGAUGCGCCUACGUGGGAUUCGCUAGUUGGUGAGGUAAUGGCUCACCAAGGCGACGAUCUCUAGCUGGUUUGAGAGGAUGAUCAGCCACACUGGAACUGUGACACGGUCCGGACGCGUAAGGGGGGCAGCAGUGGGGAAUAUUGGGCAAUGGGCGCAAGCCGGCUCAGCCAUGCCGCGUGUGUGAAGAAGGCCUUCGGGUUGUAAGGCACUUUCAGCGGGGAGGAAGGGGUUGUAGUUAAUGGCUACAACCUUUGGCGUUACUCGCAGAAGUAGCACCGGCUAACUCUGUGCCAGCAGCCGCCGUAACAC
rnacentral:rRNA from 1 species